CCUACGGGUGGCAGCCGUGGGGAAUAUUGGGCAAUGGGCGCAAGCCUGACCCAGCAACGCCGCGUGAAGGAAGAAGGCUUUCGGGUUGUAAACUUCUUUUAAGAGGGAAGAGCAGAAGACGGUACCUCUUGAAUCAGCCACGGCUAACUACGUGCCAGCAGCCGCGGUACUGCGUAGGUGGCAAGCGUUGUCCGGAUGUACUGGGGGUAAAGGGAUUGCAGCCGGGAAGACUAAUCAUAUGUUAAGUCCCGCGGCUCAACCGCGGAACUGCAGUUGAAACUGUUUUUCUUGAGUACCGGAGAGGUCAUCGGAAUUACUUGUGUAGCGGUGAAAUGCGUAGAUAUAAGGAAGAACACCAGUGGCGAAGGCGGAUGACUGGACGGCAACUGACGGUGAGGCGCGAAAGCGUGGGGAGCAAACAGGAUUAGAUACCCCUGUAGUC
rnacentral:rRNA from 1 species